rnacentral:rRNA from 1 species
UACAGAGGUCUCAACCGUUGUUCGGAUUCAUUGGGCGUAAAGGGUGCGUAGGCGGUCGUGCAAGUCGGAUGUGAAAUCUCAGGGCUCAACCCUGAAACUGCAUUCGAUACUGCGUGGCUAGAGUGCUGGAGAGGAGACUGGAAUUUACGGUGUAGCAGUGAAAUGCGUAGAUAUCGUAAGGAAGACCAGUGGCGAGGGCGAGUCUCUGGACAGCAACUGACGCUGAGGCACGAAGGCCAGGGGAGCAAACGGG